rnacentral:ncRNA from 1 species
CACAAAGGUUUGGUCCUAACCUUAAAAUCAAUUUUUACUUGACCUACACAUGCAAGUUUCCGCACCCCUGUGAAAACGCCCCUAAGUCCCCCCCCGGAUUUAAGAUUCGGAGCAGGUAUCAGGCACAACUAUAUGCCCAAGACACCUAGCCAUGCCACACCCACAAGGGUUCUCAGCAGUGACCAAUAUUAAACAUAAGCAACAGCUUGAUUUAGUUAAGGUAAACAGGGCCGGCAAAUCUGGUGCCAGCCGCCGCGGCUACACCAGUGGCCCAAAUUGAUAUCCAUCGGCGUAAAGCGUGAUUAAAAUCCCUAUAAGACUAGAGCUAAACAUAGAUUGAAUUGUUAAACGUCUAUCUAAGAGAAACCCAAAUAACGAAAGUUGCUCUAUCUAACCAAUUUGAAUACACGAAAGCCAGGGCACAAACUGGGAUUAGAUACCCCACUAUGCCUCCCCAUAAACUUUAACUUACACCUUAAUCGCCCGGGAACUACGAGCAAAGCUUAAAACCCAAGGGACUUGACGGUGCCCCACAUCCCCCUAGAGGAGCCUGUCCUAUAAUCGAUAAUCCCCGUUUAACCUCACCACCCCUAGCCUAUCAGCCUGUAUACUUCCGUCGCCAGCCUACCACGUGAGCGAAGCUCAGUUAGCUAAAUGGCCCCCACAUCGUCAAUACGUCAGGUCAAAGUGCAGCAAAUGCCGUGGAAAGAGAUUGGCUACACUUUUUAAUAUAAAAGAAACGAAAAACAAAAUGAAACUUUGUCAAAAGGCGGAUUUAGCAGUAAAAAGAAACCAUAAAAAUCAUUUUAACAUAGCACUGGGACGCGUACACACCGCCCGUCACCCUCCUCAAAAAAUUACCUAAAACAGUAUUUAACUAACUUUUAUCCUAAAGAAGAGGCAAGUCGUAACAUGGUAAGUAUACCGGAAGGUGUGCUUGGAAA